GCUUGUCUCAAAGAUUAAGCCAUGCAUGUCUAAGUAUAAACAAAUCUAUACUGUGAAACUGCGAAUGGCUCAUUAUAUCAGUUAUAGUUUAUUUGAUGGUUCUUGCUACUUGGAUAACCGUAGUAAUUCUAGAGCUAAUACAUGCAUCAAACCCCGACUUCUGGAAGGGGUGUAUUUAUUAGAUAAAAAACCAAUGCCCUCCGGGGCUCCUUGGUGAUUCAUAAUAACUUAACGAAUCGCAUGGCCUUGCGCCGGCGAUGGUUCAUUCAAAUUUCUGCCCUAUCAACUUUCGAUGGUAAGAUAGUGGCUUACCAUGGUCUCAACGGGUAACGGGGAAUUAGGGUUCUAUUCCGGAGAGGGAGCCUGAGAAACGGCUACCACAUCCAAGGAAGGCAGCAGG
rnacentral:rRNA from 1 species